rnacentral:piRNA from 1 species
UAAAAAAGUGCCGGGCGGAUGGCCCCUGG